GGAUGCAAGGGCAUUCUGGCUGUGACAACUGUCAUUCUAUUAAUCUCCUGGGCUGAAGUAGCUGGAUAGGCAGGUAGAUCCUCCCUCCAUCCCUUCUCUGUGUGUGUCCCUCCCGAAUGGAAGCUGGACUGUUGAUGGAAGAGGAUGGCCAUCCAGAUAUAAACAUGUGAUUCUUCAGCUAAGGGGUAUCCGAUAGCUGUAUUCCCUGCUAGAACCUCCAAACAAGGUAAAGGUGCAUUCCUAGAAGCCUGAGUUGCAGUUUACCUGGG
rnacentral:snRNA from 1 species